AUACAUAGGGAUAGCCUAGGGAAACCUGGAUUAAUACCUAAUAAUGCGAAGAGAUCACAUGGUCUUUUCGCCAAAGAUUCAUCGGUAUGGGAUGGACCUGCGUCUGAUUAGCUAGUUGGUGGGGUAACGGCCUACCAAGGCAACGAUCAGUAGCCGACCUGAGAGGGUAAUCGGCCACAUUGGAACUGAGACACGGUCCAAACUCCUACGGGAGGCAGCAGUGGGGAAUAUUGCACAAUGGGCGCAAGCCUGAUGCAGCAACGCCGCGUGAGUGAAGAAGGUCUUCGGAUCGUAAAACUCUGUCCUUAGGGAAGAAACAAAUGACGGUACCUAAGGAGGAAGCCCCGGCUAACUACGUGCCAGCAGCCGCGGUAAUACGUAGGGGGCAAGCGUUAUCCGGAAUUAUUGGGCGUAAAGAGUACGUAGGUGGUUUUGUAAGCGUGGGGUGAAAGACCGAAGCUUAACUUCGGUUAGCCUUGCGAACUGCAAGACUUGAGUGCAGGAGAGGAAAGUGGAAUUCCUAGUGUAGCGGUGAAAUGCGUAGAUAUUAGGAGGAACAUCAGUGGCGAAGGCGACUUUCUGGACUGUAACUGACACUGAGGUACGAAAGCGUGGGGAGCAAACAGGAUUAGAUACCCUGGUAGUCCACGCCGUAAACGAUGAGCACUAGGUGUCGGGGUCGCAAGGCUUCGGUGCCGCAG
rnacentral:rRNA from 1 species